rnacentral:rRNA from 1 species
UACGGGGGGUGCAAGCGUUACUCGGAAUCAUUGGGCGUAAAGGGCGCGUAGGCGGCCCGGUAAGUCAGGUGUGAAAGCCCGGGGCUCAACCCCGGAAGUGCAUUUGAUACUGCCAGGCUUGAGUAUGGGAGAGGGAAGUGGAAUUCCUGGUGUAGAGGUGAAAUUCGUAGAUAUCAGGAGGAACACCGGUGGCGAAGGCGACUUCCUGGACCAAUACUGACGCUGAGGCGCGAAGGCGUGGGGAGCAAACAGG